GGAUUCUGUAUUGAACUUUCACCACUUAUAAUUCACGCAAAAACCUAUCUGAAGAAGGCGAAAUUCACAAUGGUCGAAACAAGACUUUCGAAAUUGAAAGAUGGAAUUUGAUAUCUGGUGAAGUCUAGACAAGUUUUUGAAAUGAAAUCGUUGAACACAUGUAAAACAAUUGAUGUCCGUGUAAAGCUUGGGGUGGACAUUCCAGUAGGACGGACCCGAGAUUGUCGUUCGUGAUUGAGGAAACGACUGGUUGGGGGUGGGCAAUCCUGUAGGCCGGACCCAAGAUUGUUGCUCGUAAUUGAGGAAACGACUGAAGUGUGAUGCCAAGAAGACUAUUGCAAAGAGGAAUGUCAAGGCCAGGCGCAUAGUUGCAUAUGAAGGGAAAAAACUGAUGCAUUGUUGGCAAAAGUCAAAACAAGAAAUUAAUUCAAG